rnacentral:rRNA from 1 species
UGCCUUACACAUGCAAGUCGAACGGGGAAAGGCUUCGGCCGAGUACUAGUGGCGCACGGGUGAGUAACGCGUGGAUAAUCUGCCUUCGAGUGGGGGAUAACUAUCCGAAAGGAUGGCUAAUACCGCAUAAGACCACAGGAUCUGAGGAUCUCGGGGUCAAAGGUUUUUCGCUUGAAGAUGAGUCCGCGUGAGAUUAGCUAGUUGGCGGGGUAAUGGCCCACCAAGGCAACGAUCUCUAGCUGGUCUGAGAGGAUGAUCAGCCACACUGGAACUGAGACACGGUCCAGACUCCUACGGGAGGCAGCAGUGGGGAAUUUUGGACAAUGGACGCAAGUCUGAUCCAGCCAUUCCGCGUGCAGGACGAAGGCCUUCGGGUUGUAAACUGC